AAGGUACUCUCUCUCUCUCUCUCUCUCUCUCAAACAACGAGUCUCAACAAAUCUCAGAGCUCUCUCCUCUUUUCCAUGGCAAGUAAAAUUGAAGAAGAUGUCGCCGACAAAGGUGAACAGACUCGAAAACCUAUCCAUCUCGAAACAGAAUACGCAUAACACUGAAUCUGCAGAUGUAGUGUGAACUGUGAAGCCGUUUUCAGCGGGAUGUGAUUGGCAUUGAUGAAGCCCAGUUCUUCGAUAACCUCUGUGAUUUCUGCUGCAAAGCACUGAUCUUGAUGGAAAAACUGUAGUAAUUGCUGGGCUGGAUGGGAAGUACCUGAGAAGAAGCUUUGGUUCAGGGCUUGAUAUUUAUAUCCUUUGCUGAUUCUGUAACCAAGCCAACACCUCGAUGUGAGCUUUGUGGCAAGCAGGCCUUUUUUACCCUAUGGAAGAUUGGAGAAACAGAGAUGAAAUUGAUCGGUGGUUCGGAUGUCUAUAUGCUCGUGUGUCGCCAGCAUUA